CUCCACCGGCAUCAGGCGGGAAGGGGCGUUGAUCGGUGUCUUCUGCACGCAGCUCCCGCCGGAGUUUACCCCGCGGAAUUCAUCGGCUUUGAUGCAUGACACCUUGAAUGACAUGAACAGCUUCUU
rnacentral:SRP_RNA from 1 species